UACGUAGGUGGCAAGCGUUGUCCGGAAUUAUUGGGCGUAAAGCGCGCGCAGGCGGUCUUUUAAGUCUGAUGUGAAAUCUUGCGGCUCAACCGUAAGCGGUCAUUGGAAACUGAAAGACUUGAGUGCAGAAGAGGAGAGUGGAAUUCCACGUGUAGCGGUGAAAUGCGUAGAUAUGUGGAGGAACACCAGUGGCGAAGGCGACUCUCUGGUCUGUAACUGACGCUGAGACGCGAAAGCGUGGGGAGCAAACAGG
rnacentral:rRNA from 1 species